AAGUAGUAUAGAUAAAUUAAACUAAUUUAUUUUGGCGGCAUUUAUCUAGUUAGAGGAACUUGUCUUUUAAUCGAUAUUACACGAUAUCUUUCACUUAAUUUAAAAGUUUAUAUACCUCCAUCUCAAGAACCAAUUUAUAAAUCUCAAUCUAAAUAAUAAUAAAAAGUUAGGUCAAGGUGUAGCCUAAACUAAAGUUUAAAUGAGUUACUUUAAAUAUAAUUUAAGAAUUAAAGCUUUUAAACUUCUAUAAAAAAGAAUUUAUUAGUAAUAUAAAAAUAUUAAUUUUACCUGAACACAUUAAUAAAUGUGC
rnacentral:rRNA from 1 species